UGGAAAUUCAAAGAAAAAGUGAAGAAAUCAAGGAAACAAACUAGGUAGUGAGACGUCCCGAAAAGGUAAAAGAAUUGCGUCUGAAGACUAUUAGUCCGAGUGCACCCGGAAUCUAGAUUUUCGACACCUAUCACGAGGCAGCCUAUAAUUAGGACGAGGUGUCCUUCU